CCCCGCAUUUUUGGAGAAAUGUUUAAUUGGAUUAAACAUAUUAUUUUAGCCAAAGGGAGCUAAAAUAAGGAAAAAUAGCCCGUAUAAUUUUUAUCAUUGGAAAAUUUGGAUUUAAGCCCGGAAUUAUUAUCGACGUGCUUAAGUAAUAAAUUAAUUUAAUAAAUUAAUAAGCAAAAGAAAAAAAAAUAUAAAAUAUAGUGUAGAGACAUAUUAAAUAGUAGGCCUAAUUAACAACAAUACAAGUCCAAACAAAUAGUAAAAGAGAAAACUCAAAGUCCAAGCCCAAUUUCUUUCAUUAUUAAUAAUUAAAAUAGAGAUAUUAAUAAGGAUAAUAGAAACAAAGGAGAAAAAGAAGGAGAUUUCCAGAAUUUUCCUCUUCUUCUUCUCUAAACCAUUUCUCAUCCCAAAACUUCCAUUUUCCACCAAAAUCAUGAAGGAAUCUUGGAUAUUUUGAGGAUUAAGCUAAGAUUCUAUCUAUAGCAACAAUAAUCAAGGUACUCAGUAGAUCAAGGUUGACCCGAGCUUCCAUUCUUGAUCCGGAAAGCUCGCUCUUUUGACAUGUACAGUUUCUGUCUUUUGCUCUAGCGCUGCAGUAGAUAGUCAGGCUAGUUUAUUUUUGUCGAGGUCUAUAGCGGUAUGGUUGUAUUUUGGGUUAUCACCGCUUUUUGUCAAUAGUUUUUGAUAGGUCUCGUUUCUGGUAAUAAACAAUUAUCAGAGGUAGUUUUAGAUUAACUGUUUAACUUACAAAUGAUGAUUGAUGAUAUUUAUAUAAUGGCUGUCAAGUUGUAUA